rnacentral:rRNA from 1 species
UACGGAGGGGGCGAGCGUUAUUCGGAAUUAUUGGGCGUAAAGGGCGCGUAGGCGGCGCGAUAAGUCAAAGGUGAAAUCCCUCGGCUCAACUGAGGAACUGCCUUUGAAACUGUCGUGCUUGAGUCCGGGAGGGGGUAGCGGAAUUCCCAGUGUAGCGGUGAAAUGCGUAGAUAUUGGGAGGAACACCAGUGGCGAAGGCGGCUACCUGGACCGGUUCUGACGCUGAUGCGCGAAAGCGUGGGGAGCGAACAGG